rnacentral:rRNA from 1 species
AAAUUGAAGGGUUUGAUCAUGGCUCAGAUUGAACGCUGGCGGCAGGCCUAACACAUGCAAGUCGAACGGUAACAGGAAGCAGCUUGCUGCUUCGCUGACGAGUGGCGGACGGGUGAGUAAUGUCUGGGAAACUGCCUGAUGGAGGGGGAUAACUACUGGAAACGGUGGCUAAUACCGCAUAACGUC